rnacentral:rRNA from 1 species
AGCCUUGAGUUAUAAAUUCAAGGUAAAGCCUGCCCAGUGCAAAAUGUCAACGGCCGCAGUACCCUGACUGUGCUAAGGUAGCAUAAUCAUUUGGCUUUUAAAUGGAGUCGGGAAUGAAUGGAUUAAUAGGGCUAAGCUGUCUUUCUUAUAUUUACUUUAAUUUACUUAUUAGGUGAAAAUGCCUAAGUACAGAAAAAAGACGAGAAGACCCUAGGAGUUUUUACUAAAACCUAUUUGUGAUAGUGUGCGUUUUUGUUGGGGCGACAUGAGAGGAUAAGAAUAAACCUCUUUAGCUUAUAUGCCGACUUGGUAUGUAAAAUUAAACUACCCUAGGGAUAACAGCGUAAUUCUUUUUGAGUUUGCGACCUCGAUGUUGGACUAGGAAUUAGGUAGGUUAGCCGCCUAUUUUAAUUGUUCUGUUCGAACUAUUUUUCCU